UACGUAGGGGGCAAGCGUUGUCCGGAAUCAUUGGGCGUAAAGAGCGUGUAGGCGGCCAGAUAGGUCAGCUGUGAGAACUCGAGGCUCAACCUCGAGACGCCGGUUGAAACCAUCUGGCUAGAGUCCGGAAGAGGAGAGUGGAAUUCCUGGUGUAGCGGUGAAAUGCGCAGAUAUCAGGAAGAACACCCGUGGCUAAGGCGGCUCUCUAGUACGGUACUGACGCUGAGACGCGAAAGCGUGGGGAGCGAACAGG
rnacentral:rRNA from 1 species